UUUAGAAGCUCCUGAAGUACCGGACGUAGUACAAGACCUCAUGGGACGUUACAAGGAUGUCUUCCCUGACGAGAUCCCUGCCGGUUUGCCCCCUAUCCGUGGCAUAGAACAUCAGAUCGAUCUUGUACCCGGCGCGCCACUACCAAACCGAGCCGCUUACCGUGUCAACCCUGAGGAAGCUAAGGAGCUGGAACGGCAGGUCCAAGAUCUCAUGGACAAAGGCUACAUCCGCGAGAGCCUUAGCCCCUGUGCAGUCCCGGUCCUACUAGUGCCUAAGAAAGAUGGGUCAUGGCGCAUGUGUGUGGACUGCCGAGCCAUCAACAACAUAACCAUCAAAUAUCGGUACCCUAUACCUAGAUUAGAUGAUAUGUUGGAUGAACUGAGUGGUUCUGUUGUGUUUUCUAAGAUUGAUCUCAGGAGUGGAUACCAUCAAGUCCGCAUGAAGGAAGGAGAUGAGUGGAAAACCGCCUUCAAGACCAAGCAAGGUCUAUACGAGUGGCUGGUGAUGCCGUUUGGCCUUACCAACGCCCCUAGCACCUUCAUGAGACUCAUGAAUGAGGUCCUCCGACCUUACAUUGGUAAAUUCGUGGUUGUAUACUUUGAUGAUAUCUUGAUAUACAGCAGGUCUUUAACUGAACACAUGGGACACCUAGAACAGGUUUUGAAAGCCUUAAGGGAAGAAGGCCUUUAUGCUAACCUUAAGAAAUGUGUAUUCUGCACUGAUCAAUUGGUAUUUUUAGGCUUUGUUGUGAGUUCACAGGGACUGAAGGUUGAUGAAGAGAAGAUCAAGGCGAUACAAGACUGGCCGACUCCAACCACGAUCGGACAUAUCCGCAGCUUCCAUGGACUGGCCAGUUUCUAUCGACGAUUUGUGAAGGACUUCAGUACCAUUGCCGCCCCAAUGACCUCCGUGAUCAAGAAGAAUGUAACCUUUGCUUGGGGCCCUGCCCAAGAGGAGUCUUUCAACAGGCUUAAAUAUAGCUUGACACAUGCACCGGUUCUAACUCUUCCUAACUUUGAUAAACCUUUUGAGAUUGAGUGUGAUGCUUCAGGGACAGGAAUAGGAGCCGUGCUGACCCAAGGAGGACGGCCAGUGGCCUUUUUCAGUGAGAAAUUGAGUGGAGCCACCCUCAAUUACCCCACCUAUGAUAAAGAGCUAUAUGCUCUAGUAAGGUCGCUUGAAACUUGGCAACAUUAUCUUUUGUCUAAAGAGUUUAUUAUUCAUACAGAUCAUGAGACUCUUAAGCAUUUGAGGGGCCAGACCACACUUAAAAAGAGGCAUGCUAGGUGGCUGGAGUUCGUGGAAACUUUUCCUUAUGUGAUUAAGUACAAGAAGGGAAAGGACAACAUAGUGGCCGACGCCCUAUCCCGGCGCCACACACUCAUUACCACCAUGGAGGCUAAGAUCAUGGGUUUUGAGCAACUCAAAAUAUCUUAUGAAACUGACCCUGAUUUUUCUGAGCUUUACAGUAACACGGCUAAGGGAGCCAUGGGUCCAUUCUAUCAGCAGGACGGAUUCCUCUUCAAGGAGAAACGCCUGUGUAUCCCUCAUGGUUCCAUGCGACAUUUACUGACCAGAGAAGCUCAUGGGGGUGGAUUGAUGGGGCAUUUCGGUCGGGACAAAACUCUGAGUGUCCUGUCCGACCACUUCUAUUGGCCCCGGAUGAGGCGCUACGUCGAGAGCCUUUGCUCCAAGUGCACUGUCUGUCUCAAAACCAAAUCCAGGUCGCAUCCUUAUGGUUUACACAUGCCUUUACCUAUUCCUAUUGCACCGUGGGUCGAUCUGUCUAUGGACUUUGUGCUGGGCUUGCCCAAGACAGAACAUAAGGAUUCUAUUUUUGUUGUAGUGGACAGGUUCUCCAAGAUGGCACACUUCAUUCCGUGUUCCAAAACCAAUGACGCAAGCCAAACCGCUGAUCUCUUCUUCAAGGAAGUGGUGCGUUUACAUGGAGUGCCUCGUACCAUCGUGUCCGACCGAGACACAAAAUUUCUCAGCCACUUCUGGAGGACAUUGUGGAAAAAGCUUGGAACCAAGCUCCUUUUCUCGACCACUUGCCAUCCACAGACUGAUGGACAGACCGAGGUAGUAAACCGUACACUCUCUCAGUUAUUGAGGGCUACGGUGGGUAAGAAUCUUAAAAACUGGCUGAGUUGUUUGCCUUUCAUUGAGUUUGCUUAUAACCAUGCAAGGCACUCUAUUACUAACCUCUCCCCUUUUGAGAUCGUGUACGGCUUUAGACCAGAGACGCCCAUGGACCUAGCCGCAUUGCCCCCAGCCAUGCAAGUCAGCCAGAGUGGUGACAAAAAGGCUGAGUUUGUAAAGAACAUGCACCGGCAAGUCAAGGAGACUUUGGAGAAGAAGGCUGAAAGGAACCGGAUUAAGCUCAACAAGGGGCGCACAGAAGUUAUCUUCCAGCCAGGCGACUGGGUGUGGCUCCACAUGAGGCCAGAACGGUUUCCGGAAGAGAGGAAGAGCAAAUUAUCCCCACGGGGAGAUGGACCAUUCCGAGUGCUCGAUCGGAUCAAUGACAAUGCCUACCGGCUAGAACUGCCAGGUGAGUUCCAAGUUUCCCGAACGUUCAAUGUAUCUGAUUUGUCUCCUUAUAUUGCAGAUGAUGGAGAUGUUCUGAGGACAGAACCUGUUCAAGAUCCGUCAGCACACGCAGGACGUCCGUGGCUGUCCGUGUGUGUCCGUGUGUCCGUCAGCACACGCAAGACGUCCGUCAGUACACACAGGACGUCCGUCAGUACUGUUGUAGUACCCACGACUGAGGUUCCCAUUAUCCGCAAAGGCCCUACCACAAGGUCCGGUUUUUUUGUCUUAACUUUUUGCAUUUACUCUUAGCCUUGGUCGAUACUCAUAGUAUCCGACCCAAGCAACUAUUUAACCCCCUCUUGCCUUUAAUCUUUCUUUGAGUUUCCUUUCAGAGAACUAUGGGAGAUGUAGGUCAAGACCAAGCGGCCAUAAACGCUCAGCUCUUAGCUGACAAUGAAGAACUGAGGGCGAGCCUUAGGACUAUCACAGCCGAGCUUGCUCAGCUCCGGCAGGGAGGCAGGCCCAACGGACCUCGACCACCAGGAAGGCAUCAGCCGGACCCGCAUGACACUGACUCGGACGCGGACAGUACCGAUGAUACGCGCAGUCAGGACGAGGAGAGGCCAAACCGGGGAGGUAGGAGGAACGCGCGAGGACCCCAGGCCCAAGUAGGAGGAGGCCGCGACCAUAGGGGAGGUCGAGACCGAGAAGAGGAAGAGCCUUGGUUGGGAGGCAAGGCACUUAAGCUUCAUCCCCCAACGUUUGCCGGCAAGGUUGAUCCGGAUGCCUACAUCGUGUGGGAGAAGCGCAUGGAGUACAUCUUCGACUAUUACCAAUAUAGUGAGGCCAAGAAGGUUGCCCUAGCAGCAGCCCAGCUGACGGACAAUGCUCUUUCGUGGUGGGAUUGAGACGUUGCCAAGUCCGGGCCAGUGUGGAGAGCGCGUAAUUGGACCGAGAUGCGGACCAAGCUUCGCGCGAGGUACAUUCCAUCUUACUACCAGCGUGAUGUGCUAAAACGUUUUCGUAAACUUACGCAGGGAACUAAGACUGUGGAGGAGUACUUUGAGGAGUUCGAGGCUCUUAGGAAUAAGCUUGAGACCGACGAGCCCGAGGAGACAAUGAUGUCCCAAUUCCUGGAAGGGCUGCAAGACCGCAUUGCCCGCAAGGUGGAGAGACAACACUAUGAAGACUUCAACGAUCUAUUGCACUUUGCUACGCAAGCCGAGCAGCACAUCAAGCGCAAGACGGCCAGUACCAGCCGCAGCAAACCUGCUUGGACUCAACCGGGUUCAAAGCAAGGCGACAAGGGCAAGACGAUUGAGAUUGAGAGCCGAUUCAAGACAAACCCGGCUGAAUCGUCCAAUGCAUCUAAGCCGGAGCAGGGUAAGACUCAAGCCCAAAAUUUGCGUACUCGUGACAUCAUUUGUUAUAAGUGUCAGGGCAAGGGCCACUAUGCUCGGGAUUGUCCAAACAAACGAGUGAUGGUCCUAAAGGGGGAUGGCGAGUAUGAAUCCCAAGAUGAGGCAGAGGCCGCGGCAGCGAUCUCUGAUGAGGAAGUAACCGACUACCCGGAGACAGGCGAGCUGCUAGUGACCCGGAGAGCCCUUAGCACCCUCUUUGACCCAGAGACCAUCCAGCGGGAGAACAUCUUCCACACCAGAUGUAGUGUUGAUCACAAGGUAUGUAGUUUGAUCAUAGAUGGCGGAUCUUGUACUAACGUGGCUAGCAAGUAUCUUGUUGAUAAGCUAGGGUUGAUCAAAACUGCCCAUCCUCGACCAUACCGUCUCAAAUGGCUCAAUGAUGAGACUGAGCUCAAGAUUGCCGAACAAGUUGUUGUGUCCUUCAGUAUUGGCAAGUACCACGACCAGGUCAAGUGUGAUGUUGUGCCCAUGCAAGCCGGCCAUAUACUUCUCGGAAGGCCAUGGCAGUUUGACAAGGAGACACUUCACCAUGGCCGCACCAACAUCUACAGUUUCGUCCACAACAACAAGAAGCACAGCCUAGCACCUCUCAGCCCCCAAGAAGUUCAUGAUAUGCAGAAGGCAAUGACGCAAUCCGGCCAGGUAAGUAACACUAACCUUUACAUGACUUCUGGACAAGUGCUUAAAUCAUUACAACGUGAGACACAGGUGCUACUAAUGAUCUUUAAGGAAGGUUGUUUUGCAGGUUUAGAAGCUCCUGAAGUACCGGACGUAGUACAAGACCUCAUGGGACGUUACAAGGAUGUCUUCCCUGACGAGAUCCCUGCCGGUUUGCCCCCUAUCCGUGGCAUAGAACAUCAGAUCGAUCUUGUACCCGGCGCGCCACUACCAAACCGAGCCGCUUACCGUGUCAACCCUGAGGAAGCUAAGGAGCUGGAACGGCAGGUCCAAGAUCUCAUGGACAAAGGCUACAUCCGCGAGAGCCUUAGCCCCUGUGCAGUCCCGGUCCUACUAGUGCCUAAGAAAGAUGGGUCAUGGCGCAUGUGUGUGGACUGCCGAGCCAUCAACAACAUAACCAUCAAAUAUCGGUACCCUAUACCUAGAUUAGAUGAUAUGUUGGAUGAACUGAGUG
rnacentral:lncRNA from 1 species